rnacentral:rRNA from 1 species
GACGAACGCUGGCGGCGUGCUUAACACAUGCAAGUCGAACGGAAAGGCCCUGCGUGGUUGUGGAGUGGUGAACGGGGGCGUGAAACGUGCGCGUUGUUCCCCGAACCUUGGCUUAAGGCUGGGUUAAUGGGGCUAAUACUCAUUCGGCCUACGAGCUCCCGCGUGUGUGUGGGCAUGCGUUUGUGUGGUGGGAUGGGCCGGGGGCCGCUGAGCUUGGUGGUGGGGUAUUGGUAUACCAAGGCGAAGACGGGUAGCCGGCCUGAGAGGGUGACCGGCCACACUGGGACGGAGAUACGGCCCAGACUCCUACGGGAGGCAGCAGUGGGGAAUAUUGCACAAUGGGCGGAAGCCUGAUGCAGCAACGCCGCGUGGGGGAUGACGGCCUUCGGGUUGUAAACCGCUUUCACCUGGGACGAAGCGUGAGUGACGGUACCGGGAGAAGAAGCACCGGCUAACUACGUG